UAUAAAUAUGAACCACGUAAUUUUAGAACAAAGUCUUCUCUUUUUUCAAUGCUCAUACCUUAUUAUGACUUUCUUGCUUUUAGACAAAAUAAUGUGCAAGACUUGGCACCUGAUCAUGCUAUACAAAAUAUUUUGACUGUGUGUACAAUGACUCUUUAUGAAAUAACAUGUUGAAUGCAUUUUAUAAUUUAACGUAUUUUUGUUUGUCUAAUUAUAUAACAUAUUGAACUUUUUUUUAACCUUUUGACCACAUAUAUCUAAAUUAACGCAUGCAUUAACCUUGCUUUUUAGGUCUCUCAAAUUUUACAUCCUUAAAAGAAUGGAAGAAGCUAGCAUGUUUAGAAUGAACAUUAUUUUAGUUGUUUAAGUUUCCUCACCUUGUGUAUUUAUCACUCUGGUAUUUGUAUUUUUGCAUCGUAUAGUCUUGUAAACAAAUUUGAACAUCAAUAUUCAUUUGUCCAUAUCUUAGUUUGAGUAUAGUAUAUUUUUGCAUCAUAUAUAGGCUUUGCUUUUGUUCAAAAAAGUAUAAUAUAUUUUUUUACUAGUGAUUCACAAUCUCUUGUGUGUGUUGCGUGUACCUCAGUCCCACCACCUGCAUGGCUCCUGAGUUUUUAUUGGUUCAAUUUCCACGAAUCUUGGAUCAUGGAAGUCUUGUAAGAAAUUCUCAUAUUCCAUGAGAAGGUUUUAGUGGCAUUUCAUUGCAGUUCAGCUCUUAGCUUCAAAGUAGAGCAAUCGAGCUAGGGUUUUAGCAGAAGAGAGAUAGAGAGAGAGAGAGAGAUGUUGUACAUAGUGGGAUUGGGAUUGGG